GAUGAACGCUGGCGGCGUGCCUAAUACAUGCAAGUCGAGCGAACGGACGAGAAGCUUGCUUCUCUGAUGUUAGCGGCGGACGGGUUAGUAACACGUGGAUAACCUACCUAUAAGACUGGGAUAACUUCGGGAAACCGGAGCUAAUACCGGAUAAUAUUUUGAACCGCAUGGUUCAAAAGUGAAAGACGGUCUUGCUGUCACUUAUAGAUGGAUCCGCGCUGCAUUAGCUAGUUGGUAAGGUAACGUCUUACCAAGGCAACGAUGCAUAGCCGACCUGAGAGGGUGAUCGGCCACACUGGAACUGAGACACGGUCCAGACUCCUACGGGAGGAAGCAGUAGGGAAUCUUACGCGAUGGGCGAAAGCCUGACGGAGCAAAGUCGCGUGAGUGAUGAAGGUCUUAGGAUCGUAAAACUCUGUUAUUAGGGAAGAACAUAUGUGUAAGUAACUGUGCAGAUCUUGACGGUACCUAAUCAGAAAGCCACGGCUAACUACGUG
rnacentral:rRNA from 1 species